GAUGAACGCUGGCGGCGUGCCUAAUACAUGCAAGUCGAGCGAACGGACGAGAAGCUUGCUUCUCUGAUGUUAGCGGCGGACGGGUGAGUAACACGUGGAUAACCUACCUAUAAGACUGGGAUAACUUCGGGAAACCGGAGCUAAUACCGGAUAAUAUUUUGAACCGCAUGGUUCAAAAGUGAAAGACGGUCUUGCUGUCACUUAUAGAUGGAUCCGCGCUGCAUUAGCUAGUUGGUAAGGUAACGGCUUACCAAGGCAACGAUGCAUAGCCGACCUGAGAGGGUGAUCGGCCACACUGGAACUGAGACACGGUCCAGACUCCUACGGGAGGCAGCAGUAGGGAAUCUUCCGCAAUGGGCGAAAGCCUGACGGAGCAACGCCGCGUGAGUGAUGAAGGUCUUCGGAUCGUAAAACUCUGUUAUUAGGGAAGAACAUAUGUGUAAGUAACUGUGCACAUCUUGACGGUACCUAAUCAGAAAGCCACGGCUAACUACGUGCCAGCAGCCGCGGUAAUACGUAGGUGGCAAGCGUUAUCCGGAAUUAUUGGGCGUAAAGCGCGCGUAGGCGGUUUUUUAAGUCUGAUGUGAAAGCCCACGGCUCAACCGUGGAGGGUCAUUGGAAACUGGAAAACUUGAGUGCAGAAGAGGAAAGUGGAAUUCCAUGUGUAGCGGUGAAAUGCGCAGAGAUAUGGAGGAACACCAGUGGCGAAGGCGACUUUCUGGUCUGUAACUGACGCUGAUGUGCGAAAGCGUGGGGAUCAAACAGGACUAGAUACCCUGGUAGUCCACGCCGUAAACGAUGAGUGCUAAGUGUUAGGGGGUUUCCGCCCCUUAGUGCUGCAGCUAACGCAUUAAGCACUCCGCCUGGGGAGUACGACCGCAAGGUUGAAACUCAAAGGAAUUGACGGGGACCCGCACAAGCGGUGGAGCAUGUGGUUUAAUUCGAAGCAACGCGAAGAACCUUACCAAAUCUUGACAUCCUUUGACAACUCUAGAGAUAGAGCCUUCCCCUUCGGGGGACAAAGUGACAGGUGGUGCAUGGUUGUCGUCAGCUCGUGUCGUGAGAUGUUGGGUUAAGUCCCGCAACGAGCGCAACCCUUAAGCUUAGUUGCCAUCAUUAAGUUGGGCACUCUAAGUUGACUGCCGGUGACAAACCGGAGGAAGGUGGGGAUGACGUCAAAUCAUCAUGCCCCUUAUGAUUUGGGCUACACACGUGCUACAAUGGACAAUACAAAGGGCAGCGAAACCGCGAGGUCAAGCAAAUCCCAUAAAGUUGUUCUCAGUUCGGAUUGUAGUCUGCAACUCGACUACAUGAAGCUGGAAUCGCUAGUAAUCGUAGAUCAGCAUGCUACGGUGAAUACGUUCCCGGGUCU
rnacentral:rRNA from 1 species